rnacentral:lncRNA from 10 species
GGAAGGGCCCAGGGUGCAGGUGACUCCGGCAAUGGCGCGGGGGCGGAGGAUGCGGGCGGCCGGGCGUGGGCACGACUCGCCCAGGCUGCGCUUCCCGACCCGGCCCCGGAGCGAUGGGUCCGCUAGGGCUCGGCGCCGUGAUUUGGCGGGGACCGGGGCAAAGCACCCAGUACUAACGACUCAGCGGGUCCCACUCGCCAAGAGUCGAUUUUCGUCCUCACCACAGACUUGGGAGGGAGGUCUUAUUUUGCUAAUGAGAAAACGGAGGCUCAGAGGGGUGAGCCGAUUUGCCCGAGGUCACACAGGAAGAGGCGGAAUUCCUAGCGAGUAAGCUGGACACAAAAUAAAGAAAUGGAGGCCCAGGGAGCUGAAGUUCUUUCCCAGCAUUUGCUGCCAGGAGUCUCUCCACCAUGAGGAAUGAGGCCAAGGUUAAGUCCAUCUAACUCUAGAAACUGGCCUUCUGGCACCCCGGGCUGAGUUUUCUCACCCUACCCUUGCACCUCACUCAGGCAGUCAGUCCUUGGGAGAGUGAAUGAACACGCAGGAGACCUCACCUACCACCAGGGUCCUGGUCCAGUGCCCUGGGCACCUAACAGCACCAGCCUCCUCCAGGCUUUUCUGGCCCCUGCGACUCCUCCUAGUACCCGCAACACAGUGACCAGACCACUUCCCUGCUCAAAGUUCUUCCACACAUCACCAAUGCUGACAGAUCAGUG